AUUGAACGCUGGCGGCAGGCCUAACACAUGCAAGUCGAGCGGAGCGGCGGACGGGUGCGUAAUGCCUAGGAAUCUGCCUGGUAGUGGGGGAUAAAGUCCGGAAACGGGCGCUAAUACCGACUACUACCGGAUAAGGCUAGGUCGGAUUGUCUAGUGGGGGGGGUAAAGGCCUACCAAGGCAACGAUCCGUAACGGGUCUGAGAGGAUGAUCAGGCACACUGGAACUUGGACACGGUUCAGACUCCCACGGGAGGCAGCAGUGGGGAAUAUUGGACAAUGGGCGAAAGCCUGAUCCAGCCAUGCCGCGUGUGUGAAGAAGGUCUUCGGAUUGUAAAGCACUUUAAGUUGGGAGGCGUGACCAACAGAAUAAGCACCGGCUAACGUCGUGCCAGCAGCCGCGGUAAUAC
rnacentral:rRNA from 1 species